rfam:Heliobacterium modesticaldum Ice1, complete genome.
GAAACCACGCCGAAAGGCGUGGCUGAACCGGCAGGAGUCAGCAGAGGUCAUAGUAGGCUGGCCCGACGUCCGGCCAGAUGAAGGAC